GAUGAACGCUGGCGGCGUGCUUAACACAUGCAAGUCGAACGAAGCACUUAUGACAGAUUCUUCGGAUGAUGGAUUAAGUGACUGAGUGGCGGACGGGUGAGUAACGCGUGGGUAACCUGCCUCAUACAGGGGGAUAACAGUUAGAAAUGACUGCUAAUACCGCAUAAGCGCACAGGACCGCAUGGUCUAGUGUGAAAAAACUCCGGUGGUAUGAGAUGGACCCGCGUCUGAUUAGCUAGUUGGUGAGGUAACGGCCCACCAAGGCGACGAUCAGUAGCCGGCCUGAGAGGGUGAACGGCCACAUUGGGACUGAGACACGGCCCAAAACUCCUAACGGGGAAGGCAGCAGUGGGGAAUAUUGCACAAUGGGGAAACCCUGAUGCAGCGACGCCGCGUGAGCGAAGAAGUAUUUCGGUAUGUAAAGCUCUAUCAGCAGGGAAGAAAAAUGACGGUACCUGACUAAGAAGCCCCGGCUAACUAACGUG
rnacentral:rRNA from 1 species